AGAGUUUGAUCCUGGCUCAGAUUGAACGCUGGCGGCAGGCCUAACACAUGCAAGUCGAGCGGUAGAGAGGUGCUUGCACCUCUUGAGAGCGGCGGACGGGUGAGUAAAGCCUAGGAAUCUGCCUGGUAGUGGGGGAUAACGCUCGGAAACGGACGCUAAUACCGCAUACGUCCUACGGGAGAAAGCAGGGGACCUUCGGGCCUUGCGCUAUCAGAUGAGCCUAGGUCGGAUUAGCUAGUUGGUGAGGUAAUGGCUCACCAAGGCGACGAUCCGUAACUGGUCUGAGAGGAUGAUCAGUCACACUGGAACUGAGACACGGUCCAGACUCCUACGGGAGGCAGCAGUGGGGAAUAUUGGACAAUGGGCGAAAGCCUGAUCCAGCCAUGCCGCGUGUGUGAAGAAGGUCUUCGGAUUGUAAAGCACUUUAAGUUGGGAGGAAGGGCAUUAACCUAAUACGUUAGUGUUUUGACGUUACCGACAGAAUAAGCACCGGCUAACUCUGUGCCAGCAGCCGCGGUAAUACAGAGGGUGCAAGCGUUAAUCGGAAUUACUGGGCGUAAAGCGCGCGUAGGUGGUUCGUUAAGUUGGAUGUGAAAUCCCCGGGCUCAACCUGGGAACUGCAUUCAAAACUGUCGAGCUAGAGUAUGGUAGAGGGUGGUGGAAUUUCCUGUGUAGCGGUGAAAUGCGUAGAUAUAGGAAGGAACACCAGUGGCGAAGGCGACCACCUGGACUGAUACUGACACUGAGGUGCGAAAGCGUGGGGAGCAAACAGGAUUAGAUACCCUGGUAGUCCACGCCGUAAACGAUGUCAACUAGCCGUUGGGAGCCUUGAGCUCUUAGUGGCGCAGCUAACGCAUUAAGUUGACCGCCUGGGGAGUACGGCCGCAAGGUUAAAACUCAAAUGAAUUGACGGGGGCCCGCACAAGCGGUGGAGCAUGUGGUUUAAUUCG
rnacentral:rRNA from 1 species